ACUCCUACGGGAGGCAGCAGUGGGGAAUAUUGCACAAUGGGCGCAAGCCUGAUGCAGCCAUGCCGCGUGUGUGAAGAAGGCCUUCGGGUUGUAAAGCACUUUCAGUGGGGAGGAAAGGAUUGAUGGUUAAUACCUAUCAGCUGUGACGUUACCCACAGAAGAAGCACCGGCUAACUCCGUGCCAGCAGCCGCGGUAAUACGGAGGGUGCAAGCGUUAAUCGGAAUUACUGGGCGUAAAGCGUGCGCAGGCGGUCUGUUAAGCGAGAUGUGAAAGCCCCGGC
rnacentral:rRNA from 1 species